AAAUACUCCUGACUGACCGAUAGUGAACCAGUACCGUGAGGGAAAGGCGAAAAGAACCCCGGCGAGGGGAGUGAAAAAGAACCUGAAACCGUGUACGUACAAGCAGUGGGAGCCUCUUAAUGGGGUGACUGCGUACCUUUUGUAUAAUGGGUCAGCGACUUAUAUUCUGUAGCAAGGUUAACCGAAUAGGGGAGCCGAAGGGAAACCGAGUCUUAACUGGGCGUUAAGUUGCAGGGUAUAGACCCGAAACCCGGUGAUCUAGCCAUGGGCAGGUUGAAGGUUGGGUAACACUAACUGGAGGACCGAACCGACUAAUGUUGAAAAAUUAGCGGAUGACUUGUGGCUGGGGGUGAAAGGCCAAUCAAACCGGGAGAUAGCUGGUUCUCCCCGAAAGCUAUUUAGGUAGCGCCUCGUGAAUUCAUCUCCGGGGGUAGAGCACUGUUUCGGCAAGGGGGUCAUCCCGACUUACCAACCCGAUGCAAACUGCGAAUACCGGAGAAUGUUAUCACGGGAGACACACGGCGG
rnacentral:rRNA from 1 species